GCAACCACCUGAUGCUUCAUAUUCAGGGUUUGAGGCAAAACCACAGUUGUAAUUUAGUUAAUGAUCUUCACUGUAGGCUCCAAUGGAUGCAACACAGCACGUUUUAAAUUCAUGAACCAUGUUCUGGUUAGUUGUUAGCAACUCAGAAAAUGUGUGUUUGUCUCCAUGGGAAGGAAGAUGGAUGUGUGAAGAGUCACCAAAGUUCUAGGGAGAAACUGAGCAAGACUGAUUAGCUCCACCUCAGCAUGACACCUGAGCUACACUUUGAGAUCAAGUUUCACUCGGCUGAAAUCACACACGAUUCCCUGUGACUUUCAUGAGAAAUACUGUAAGAAAGUAUUAAAAAAG